CGGGGAUUGUACACACCGCCCGUCAAGUCACGAAAGCUGGCAACACCCGAAGUCAGUGGCCCAACCAUUUGGAGGGGAGCUGCCGAAGGGUGGGGUUGGUAAUUGGGACU
rnacentral:rRNA from 1 species